UACGUAGGGUGCGAGCGUUUGUCCGGAAUUAUUGGGCGUAAAGAGCUCGUAGGCGGUCUGUCGCGUCGGUCGUGAAAACUUGGGGGCUUAACCCUGAGCUUGCGGUCGAUACGGGCAUGACUGGAGUUCGGUAGGGGAGACUGGAAUUCCUGGUGUAGCGGUGAAAUGCGCAGAUAUCAGGAGGAACACCGGUGGCGAAGGCGGGUCUCUGGGGCAUUAACUGACGCUGAGGAGCGAAAGCAUGGGGAGCGAACAGG
rnacentral:rRNA from 1 species